GGCGCUAUAGUGUAGUGGUUAUCACUUGGGAUUCUGAUGAGCGUUCCCAAAACCCAGGUUCGAGCCCUGGUAGCGCCU
rnacentral:tRNA from 2 species